rnacentral:tRNA from 5 species
GCGGCCGUAGUUUAGUGGCAGAAUGAUUGCUUCCCAAGCAAUAGGUGGGGGUCCGAUUCCCCCCGACCGCA